ensembl:lncRNA
GUGAGAUUUCACCUCUGCAUUAUAACUUGUGUUAUAGUUUCUGACCUUCUAUGAUGGACGCCUGUUGAUCUUGAGCCACAUUAAUGCUCUCAGAUGGCUCCAUGUGGGCUCUCUAGCUUGGUUCCUCUUACCGCAGAUCUAAAACUGCCUUCCCAUGUGGCUCAGAUGGUAAAGAAUCUCCCUGCAAUGCAGGAGACCUGGGUUUGAUCCCUGGGUCAGAAGGAUCCCCUGGAGAAGAGAAUGACAACCCACUGCAGUAUCCUUGCCUGGAGAAGCCUAUGGUCAGAGGAGCCUACAGAUGAGAAAACUGAGGCUCCGAGUAUUUUGUUUUUUUUUUCACCUGUUCCAAAUUAUGGAUCAGAGCCAGGGUUCAGUCCACACAGUUUACUACCAGAGCCCAAUUAUGUACCCACCAUGCCACUCUGCUUCUUCAUCCUGUUUCUACAGUCUCUGCCUUGAUUCUUUGUCUGCCACUCUGAUUGUACUAGGAUGGGCCUCCAGAGUGCUGGUGGUGGCCUCUGUGAUCUCCUAAGAGCCAUGAACUAAACAGCCUCUUGAUGAAAGUAAAAGAGGACAGUAAAAAGUUUGACUUCAAACUCAACAUUCAGAAAACUAAGAUCAUGACAUCUGGUCCCAUCACUUCAUGGCAAAUAGAUGGGGAAACAAUGGAAACAGUGACAGAAUUUAUUUUUUUUGGGCUCCGAGCCAUAAAAUUAAAAGACGCUCCUUGGAAGGAAAGUUAUGACCAACCUAGACAGGAUAUUAAAAAGCAGAGGCAUUACUUUGCCAACAAAGGUCCAUCUAGUCAAAGCUAUGGUUUUUCCAGUAGUCAUGUAUAGAUGUGAGAUUUGGACCAUAAAGAAGGCUGAGCACUGAAGAACGGAUACUUUUGAACUGUGGUGUUGGAGAAAACUCUUGAGAGUCCCUUGGACUGCAAGGAGAUCCAACCAGUUCAUCCUAAAGGAAAUCAGUCCUGAAUAUUCCUUGGAAGGACUGAUGCUGAAGCUGAAACUCCAAUACUUUGGCCACCUGAUGCGAAGAACUGACUCAUUUGAAAAUACCUUGAUGCUGGGAAAGAUUGAAGCCUUCUGCAUGGCUACAUGGAAGGAUCUGGCUUCAGAAUCUCCUGGAUGAGUUGUUGAUGGUGACCUCGGGCAGCAUCUCAGAGGAGCCCUAGGCCUGCUGAGAGGCAUCUAUCACUGACUCACAACAGCCUUAGGUGCUUGCCACGCCCACUCAGUUUCAUUGCUCAAAAUCCAGACUAGUCCUCAGAACAGGAGACUGAUUCCUCUUCUGUGUUUUGUGUUUUCUGCAGUGGGUUUGUCUUUAACAAUGAGCCAUUCAUGCACACCCGGGGAGCUACCCAGGACCAGGGAGACGGCUGCAGGCCCUGCAGGCAACUGGCCAUGCUCCAGUCCAGAUAUUCUUGGGAAUGUGGAAUUAUUUGAAUCAAAGGGAAAUAAAUCUUUUGCAAAUGUUAAUAUAAAUGACUGUGGGAAGGGC